rnacentral:rRNA from 1 species
GAUGAACGCUGGCGGCGUGCCUAAUACAUGCAAGUCGAGCGAACAGAUGAGGAGCUUGCUCCUCUGACGUUAGCGGCGGACGGGUGAGUAACACGUGGAUAACCUACCUAUAAGACUGGGAUAACUUCGGGAAACCGGAGCUAAUACCGGAUAAUAUAUUGAACCGCAUGGUUCAAUAGUGAAAGACGGUUUUGCUGUCACUUAUAGAUGGAUCCGCGCCGCAUUAGCUAGUUGGUAAGGUAACGGCUUACCAAGGCAACGAUGCGUAGCCGACCUGAGAGGGUGAGCGGCCACACUGGAACUGAGACACGGUCCAGACUCCUACGGGAGGCAGCAGUGGGGAAUCUUCCGCAAAGGGCGAAAGCCUGACGGAGCAACGCCGCGUGAGUGAUGAAGGUCUUCGGAUCGUAAAACUCUGUUAUUAGGGAAGAACAAAUGUGUAAGUAACUAUGCACGUCUUGACGGUACCUAAUCAGAAAGCCACGGCUAACUACGUG